ACAUGCUUACAACAUAGCGUUAAUGCACUGGAUCCCAUUAAAGCUUUGCAGUUAAGUGCACUCGGGCUAGAGUAGUACCGGUAUGAGUGACCACCCGGGAAGUCCUAGUAUUUUACAUGCC
rfam:Picea glauca, whole genome shotgun sequence.